UACAGAGGUCCCAAGCGUUGUUCGGAUUCACUGGGCGUAAAGGGUGCGUAGGCGGCUUGGUAAGUCAGUGGUGAAAGCCCGGAGCUCAACUCCGGAACUGCCAUUGAUACUGCUUAGCUUGAAUCAGGUCGAGGUGGAUGGAAUAAUACAUGUAGCGGUGAAAUGCUUAGAUAUGUAUUAGAACACCGAUUGCGAAGGCAGUUCACUAGGCCUGUAUUGACACUGAGGCACGAAAGCGUGGGGAUCAAACAGG
rnacentral:rRNA from 1 species